rnacentral:rRNA from 1 species
CCUACGGGAGGCAGCAGUAGGGAAUCUUCCACAAUGGGCGAAAGCCUGAUGCAGCAACGCCGCGUGGGUGAAGAAGGUCUUCGGAUUGUAAAACCCUGUUGUUAGAGAAGAAAGUGCGUGAGAGUAACUGCUUACGUUUUGACGGUAUCUAACCAGAAAGCAACGGCUAACUACGUGCCAGCAGCCGCGGUAAUACGUAGGUGGCAAGCGUUAUUCGGAAUUACUGGGCGUAAAGGGAACGCAGGCGGUCUUUUGAGUCGGAUGUGAAAGCCUUGGGCUUAACCGGAGUAGUGCAUUUGAGACUGGGAGUCUUGAGUGCCGAAGAGGGGGGGGGAACUCCAUGUGGAGCGGUGAAAUGCGUAGAUAUGUGGACGAACACCAGUGGCGAAGGCGGCUCUCUGGUCUGUGACUGACGCUGAGGUUCGAAAGCGUGGGUAGCAAACAGGAUUAGAUACCCUUGUAGUC